CAGGAAGAAACGCACAAACCAGUCUCUCCGUCAGACGCACUUUUCUCUGGGACACGGUGGACUCUGUGGAUCCGCUCAGGUCUGAGAAUGGAGCAAAGAGAUCAGGAUGGAGCCACAGACAAAGCUCAGAGGCUCCAGCAGAAACCUGAGUUUGGAGACAGCAGGUCCUUCAUGAGAGACGGGUCUGAAGUCAAACCCACUGAUGUAAAAAUACAGGCAACAAUUAAAAGCUUGAAACGACAAAAGAAUAGAACAAGGUGAAAUCAUUAAAACACA
rnacentral:lncRNA from 1 species